CUCCUGCUAAGCAUGCAAGUAAAUGAAUACAUUUAUUAAGAAAAAGAAAGAAGAAGCAAGCUUCUGCUGAGGUACCUGGGAUAAAUUUUGUCUCUACAACAUUUUCCUGCCUCCAAUGAUCUAACUUCAACUUCAUCUCAAAGACCUAUCAAGCAGAAUGCAGAGCCCUCUGCCAAAUUUCUGUCCUUAUGAGCAAACUUUGGACUUCAGAAUUGUUAGUCAAAUUAGUUUGACUACAGCUUCUGAAAUGGGUGCCACAAUGGUCAAAUACCUCCAGUGCUCUGGAUUCUCCAGAAGGCUUGG